UACGUAGGGUGCGAGCGUUAAUCGGAAUUACUGGGCGUAAAGCGUGCGCAGGCGGUUCUGCAAGUCAGAUGUGAAACUCCCCGGGCUUAACCUGGGAACUGCGUUUGAAACUACGGAGCUAGAGUGCGGCAGAGGGGGGUGGAAUUCCACGUGUAGCAGUGAAAUGCGUAGAUAUGUGGAGGAACACCGAUGGCGAAGGCAGCCCCCUGGGCCGACACUGACGCUCAGGCACGAAAGCGUGGGGAGCAAACAGG
rnacentral:rRNA from 1 species